GACGAACGCUGGCGGCGUGCCUACUACAUGCAAGUAGGACGCAGUUGCGAACGGGUGAGACACGCGUAGGUAACUACCUAUGUGAGGGGGAUAACUAUUGGAAACGAUAGCUAAUACCGCAUACUAGUAGAUGGACCUGCGUUGUAUUAGCUAGUAUGUAGGGUAAUGGCCUACCUAGGCAACGAUACAUAGCCGACCUGAGAGGUGGGUAGGGCACACUUGGCCUGAGGCACGGCCCAGACCCCUACGGGAGGCAGAAGUAGGGAAUCUUCGGCAAUGGGGCGAACCCUGACCGAGCAACGCCGCGGGAGUGAAGAAGGUUUUCGGAUCGUAAAGCUCUGUUGUUAAGGAAGCGGUACUUAACCAGAAAGCGACGGCUAACUACGUGCCAGCAGCCGCGGUAAUUC
rnacentral:rRNA from 1 species